CUUAUCCAAUUGACACACCAUGUUAUGUGUAUGCUAAUCCAUAUUAUACACCAUGCUAUGUGUAUAUGUUACAGCUGGCGACUGCUGGUGCGCAGACACUUCCAGGCAGCCAAAGUUCAAAGCCAGGUAACUGCCGACACUUAGUUCCAGGCAUACGGGAGAGAUCUGGAUGUCACCCAGACUUGUGCCAAACAGACACGGAGUGUCCCGGAAUUGAACUCUGUUGUUUUGAUGGAUGUGCUAAGGCAUGUUCCCGUCCGGUGCUGGUGAAACCAGGAAAUUGUCCGCUCCUUAACGGACGUGUCAUUGAUAGCAGUACCCUUAGUGGACGUUCGUGUAGUCAUGAUUUUAAUUGUUCUGGCAGACAAAAAUGCUGCCAAUUGUCAAGGAACUGUGCGAACGGAAAUUGCCCUUUUGUUUGUGUGUCACCGCAGAAGGGGCCUCACUAAAUUUAGUCAACAUUAGACAGCCAAUAAGAUGGCGUGUAGGUGCAUGAUACAUGUAAUCCUUCUUGUGAUUCGCUGAAAACUGUAAACUAAAUACUGAGAUGGUCUUUUUUUCUAGAGAAGAAUGUACAUAUUUACGUGAAUUAAACUAUUAUACUCAUAUA